rnacentral:rRNA from 1 species
UCGAUACAGUUUGAUUAUAAUUUAAUUACUUUUGUUUAAAGUGUAGAAUAUUUAAUUAAUAAAUUAUUUUUGUGUUAGUGUAUUGAUUAUGAAUUUGAUUGUUUUGGUAAUAUAUUAUUUGUACUGUGAAGGAUAAUUUAGAAUGAAUUUAUUAUUUAUUAAGUAGAAUUUGAUUUUUGUACCUUGUGUAUCAGGAUUGAUUAAAUAGAUUAUAUUUAUUAUUGUUUUUCUCGAUUUUAUUAGAUCUAAUAUAUUAAAUUAGUUGUUGUAUUAAAAACAUUAAUAAUAGAAUAUUAGUGAUGAAAUGUUAUUCGUUAAUAAUGGUAUCUAGUUUUCUGGGAAACAAAUUAAAUUUGUCUCUCUUCUUUAAAGAGUUUUCUUUUUAAAUUCUUUUAAGUUUGAGGAAAAUAAGUGAGGGGAUAAGCUCUUAUUUAUAUUUUUAUAAGUUGUUAUAAUUGAAAAGUAUUAUGGAUUUAAUAUUAAUUAAUAAUAUAAAUAUGUUAAAAUUUGGCUUUAAUGUCAAUUUGUUAUUUAUUUUUCUUUAAUAAAGUUUACUGGUAUAUUGAUUUGAAUUUAUUUUGUUUAUUAAUAAUGAUUAAAUUAGUAUAUAGGGAUAUAUGUUUUGAUAUAUGAUUUUAAGGAACUAGGCAAAAGAAGUAAUUAAAUUUAUCCGCCUGUUUAACAAAAACACCUCUUCUUGUAUUAUUUAUGAAGUAUGGCCUGCCCAAUGAGUUUUGAAGGGCCGCGGUAUUUUGACCGUGCAAAGGUAGCAUAAUCAUUAGUCUUUUUAUUGGGGACUGGAAUGAAUGGUUUGACGAGAUAAGAUCUGUCUUUAUAUUAUUUAGUAGAAUUUAAUUUCUGAGUAAAAAAGCUUAGAUAUAAUUAUGGGACGAGAAGACCCUAUAGAGUUUAUAUAAUAAUAAUUUUGUUUAUAAAUAGUAUGUUUAUUAAUAUUAAUUAUAAUUAUUUAGUUGGGGUGAUUGGAAGAUAAUAGUAACUCUUCUUGAUUAAUAAAUAUUAAUUAGUAGUAUUUUGAUCCAUUAUUAAUGAUUAAAAGACUAAAUUACCUUAGGGAUAACAGCGUAAUCUUUUUUGAGAGUUCUAAUUGACAAUAAGGGUUGCGACCUCGAUGUUGGAUUAAGAUAAGUUCUGGGUGUAGAAGCUUGGAGAUAUAGGUCUGUUCGACCUUUAAACUCUUACAUGAUCUGAGUUCAGACCGGCGUGAGCCAGGUUGGUUUCUAUCUAUUAUGAAUUAAUAUACUUUAGUACGAAAGGACCGAGUAUUAUAAAUAAUUUCUGUAUUUGUGAAUAUUAAUACUAUUUUGACAGAAAAGUGUGGUAGAUUUAGAAUCUAUUUAUGUAGUGUAAAACUAUAA